UACGUAGGGGGCAAGCGUUGUCCGGAAUCAUUGGGCGUAAAGAGCGUGUAGGCGGUCCGGUCAGUCGGUUGUGAAAGUCAAGGGCUCAACCCUUGAAUGCCGGCCGAUACUGCCGGGCUAGAGUCCGGAAGAGGUGAGUGGAAUUCCUGGUGUAGCGGUGAAAUGCGCAGAUAUCAGGAGGAACACCGGUGGCGAAGGCGGAUCUCUGGGCCUUACCUGACGCUCAGGCGCGAAAGCUAGGGGAGCGAACUGG
rnacentral:rRNA from 1 species